rnacentral:snRNA from 9 species
AUACUUACCUUGAGAUACCGGAAGUGAUCAACAAGACUUCUUAGGUUGACAGAGUCUCCUGCAUUGCACAGCGCGGAGAGACACUGUUGCAAGCUGGUUUCGGCCAUCUUGAUCUCUUAAUUUUUGCUGGCCUCCCAUUUGGUUUAUUCCAACA